CACCACGCCCCAUCUUUCUGCAGGACACGUCUGAGCCGCUCGAGCCCUGAGCCUGCCCUGCCCUUUGGGGUGGGGCCCCCCCCGGCGCACUCCAUGGAGCCGGGGGUUUCGAAUCCGCUGCAGGAGCCUAGCCCGGCUGACACCAUGACGCCCGACGACUUUGACAUCGUCAUCGAAGCCAUGCUGGAGGCGCCCUACAAGAAGGAGGAGGCCCAGGCAGGACCCUCAAAGGCACCGGUUGAAGCCCCUGCAGCCCAGCCCCCAGAGGAACAGAGCAAGGAGGUGAAGAAGGAGAGUGCCAGCGGCAGGUGAGAGGGGCAGG